AUUGAACGCUGGCGGCAGGCCUAACACAUGCAAGUCGAGCGGUAGAGAGAAGCUUGCUUCUCUUGAGAGCGGCGGACGGGUGAGUAAUACCUAGGAAUCUGCCUGAUAGUGGGGGAUAACGUUCGGAAACGGACGCUAAUACCGCAUACGUCCUACGGGAGAAAGCAGGGGACCUUCGGGCCUUGCGCUAUAAGAUGAGCCUAGGUCGGAUUAGCUAGUUGGUGAGGUAAUGGCUCACCAAGGCUACGAUCCGUAACUGGUCUGAGAGGAUGAUCAGUCACACUGGAACUGAGACACGGUCCAGACUCCUACGGGAGGCAGCAGUGGGGAAUAUUGGACAAUGGGCGAAAGCCUGAUCCAGCCAUGCCGCGUGUGUGAAGAAGGUCUUCGGAUUGUGAAGCACUUUAAGUUGGGAGGAAGGGCAUUAACCUAAUACGUUAGUGUCUUGACGUUACCGACAGAAUAAGCACCGGCUAACUCUGUGCCAGCAGCCGCGGUAA
rnacentral:rRNA from 1 species